ensembl:lncRNA
GUGGUGCUUGCAGUGGCAAAACUCGGCGCUCGGUUGCUAAGGUGUUUCUAGGCGUUUGUUAGAGCGGUUGCUAGGGUACCCAAGGUGGUUGCUAGGGUGUUGUUAUGUGGUUGCUAGGUUAUUUCGGGUGGUUGCUAGGGUCCCCAGGAUGGUUGCUAGGGCCGUUGCUAGGGUACCAAGGAUGGUUGCUAGGGUAAUUGUGGUGGUUGCUAGGGUGUUGCUAUGUGGUUGCUAGGUCAAUUGGGGUGGUUGCUAAGGUGUUGCUAGGCGAUUGCUAGGGUGUUCUGAGUGGUUGUUAGGUGGUUGCUAUGGUAACCGGGGUGGUUGCUAGGAAGUUGCUAAGGUACUUGGGGUGGUUGCUAGGCGGUUGCUAGGGUGUUCUGGGUGGUUGCUAGGCGGUUGCUAGGCAGUUGCUAAGGUACUUGGGGUGGUUGCUAAGGUGUUGCUAGGCGGUUGCUAGGGUCUUUUGGGUGGUUGCUAGGCAGUUGCUAUGGUAACCUGGGUGGUUGCUAGGCAGUUGCUAAGGUACUUGGGGUGGUUGCUAAGGUGUUGCUAAGCGGUUGCUAGGGUGUUCUGGGUGGUUGCUAGGCGGUUGCUAGGCAGUUGCUAAGGUAUUUGGGGUGGUUGCUAAGGUGUUGCUAGGCGGUUGCUAGGGUCUUUUGGGUGGUUGCUAGGCAGUUGCUAUGGUAACCUGGGUGGUUGCUAGGCAGUUGCUAUCAUAACCGGGGUAGUUGCUAUGAUGAUACUAGGUGGUUGGUAGUUGUCACAGAUGGUCACUAUGUAGUUUUUAUAGAGUUCAUAGCAUGUUGUUGGCCCAUUUGAGCACUUAGCUAAUCACUGUUAGCAUGUAGCUAUUCACUGCUAGCAUGACUAGCAUGUUAGAAUU